UACAGAGGUCUCAAGCGUUGUUCGGAUUCAUUGGGCGUAAAGGGUGCGUAGGUGGCGCCAUAAGUCAGGUGUGAAAUCUCGGGGCUCAACCCCGAAACUGCAUUUGAUACUGUGGUGCUCGAGUACUGGAGAGGAGAUUGGAAUUUACGGUGUAGCAGUGAAAUGCGUAGAUAUUGUAAGGAAGACCAGUGGCGAAGGCGAAUCUCUGGACAGUUACUGACACUGAGGCACGAAGGCCAGGGGAGCAAACGGG
rnacentral:rRNA from 1 species